rnacentral:rRNA from 1 species
UACGUAGGGCGCAAGCGUUGUCCGGAAUUAUUGGGCGUAAAGAGCUCGUAGGCGGCUUGUCGCGUCGAUUGUGAAAGCCCGGGGCUUAACUCCGGGUCUGCAGUCGAUACGGGCAGGCUAGAGUGUGGUAGGGGAGAGCGGAAUUCCUGGUGUAGCGGUGAAAUGCGCAGAUAUCAGGAGGAACACCGGUGGCGAAGGCGGAUCUCUGGGCCAUUACUGACGCUGAGGAGCGAAAGCGUGGGGAGCGAACAGG